UACGUAGGGGGCAAGCGUUGUCCGGAUUUAUUGGGCGUAAAGCGCUCGCAGGUGGCCCGAUGCGUCGGGCGUGAAAGCCCCCGGCUCAACUGGGGAGGGUCACGCGAUACUGGUCGACUCGAAGGCAGGAGAGGGUAGUGGAAUUCCCGGUGUAGUGGUGAAAUGCGCAGAUAUCGGGAAGAACACCCGUGGCGAAGGCGGCUCUCUGGAACGCAACUGACGCUGAGACGCGAAAGCGUGGGGAGCAAACAGG
rnacentral:rRNA from 1 species